rnacentral:lncRNA from 1 species
CGGCUCCAAACAAAUUACCCCGUCCCACACGACGGGCAUCCACAGGUCCCACCUCAUCUUCGGUCCCGGACGCAUCCCCAGCACUGACACCCGCCAUCAAGUCCACAUUGCCGCGGCGCUUCACGCGGCGCCCAAUCUGGGCACUCAAGGUCAACUUCCGACCACUGCCAGCACUGCGAACCCGUUUUCUCCGCCUGGGAACAUCGGGAGUUCGCCCCUCUGUUGUCGGGUCCUCCAGCAUCAAUACAGUCGACGACCCGCCGACCUCAACACCUUCUUUCUCUCCAGCUGCACGGGACGUUCCCGCCUCCACAACCUUCCCGCCAGCCGGCGCACUAACCUCAGUAUC